GCGCCAGCGAUGGACCGCUUGCGAGGUGCUGCAUGGUUGUCGUCAGCUCGUGCCGUGAGGUGUCGGGUUAAGUCCCAUAACGAGCGCAACCCCUACUGCUAGUUGCCAGCGGGUCAUGCCGGGGACUCUAGCGGAACUGCCAGCGUAAGCUGCGAGGAAGGUGGGAAGACGUCAAAUCAGCACGGCCCUUACGUCCAGGGCUACACACGUGUUACAAUGGCCAGUACAGAGGGCAGCCACCCCGCGAGGGGGCGCUAAUCCUAAAAGCUGGUCCCAGUUCGGAUCGGAGUCUGCAACCCGACUCCGUGAAGCUGGAUUCGCUAGUAAUCGCGCAUCAGCCACGGCGCGGUGAAUACGUUCCCGGGCCUU
rnacentral:rRNA from 1 species